UCUAAUAAAACAAAAUAAUUUUUAGCCACUUGUCAUAAUCUUAACCUAUUAGUUGACACUUGGCAUUAGACUAAUACCUAUUUUGUUCUAUUGACCGCCAAAACCACAUUCACGCUUCUUUUCUUUUCCUUCUUCUUUCUUUUCCUCACACGCUAUUCUUUCAUCUGCUCCGCUUCAAACCCUAAUAGUCAUCUACUCUCUUUAUGGCGAUUUUUCAGAAAACCUAAAUCUCAUCCCGUCGCUUUUGAACAUCGAAUUAGGGUUUUUGACGAAUACUUUCUUCUCCGCAGACGGUGCAUAUCUUCAAAAUAAUCUUCAAAUCAAGGUUUCUGUCACUCGAUUCCUUACAAUCACCAACCCUAUUUCUCAGCCGUAAUAGACAUUGGCGUUUUCAACGUUGGUGAUUUCAUCAGAAGAUUUUAUUUACAUCGAUCAAUUCGAGGCAAUAAAUGAUGAAGGAAUGCCAUUAAGC